CCUCGGGAGGCAGCAGUGGGGAAUUUUCCGCAAUGGGCGAAAGCCUGACGGAGCAACGCCGCGUGAGGGAUGAAGGCCUCUGGGCUGUAAACCUCUUUUAUCAAGGAAGAAGAUCUGACGGUACUUGAUGAAUAAGCCACGGCUAAUUCCGUGCCAGCAGCCGCGGUAAUACGGGAGUGGCAAGCGUUAUCCGGAAUUAUUGGGCGUAAAGCGUCCGCAGGCGGCCCUUCAAGUCUGCUGUUAAAAAGUGGAGCUUAACUCCAUCAUGGCAGUGGAAACUGUUGGGCUUGAGUGUGGUAGGGGCAGAGGGAAUUCCCGGUGUAGCGGUGAAAUGCGUAGAUAUCGGGAAGAACACCAGUGGCGAAGGCGCUCUGCUGGGCCAUCACUGACGCUCAUGGACGAAAGCCAGGGGAGCGAAAGGGAUUAGAUACCCCUGUAGUCCUGGCCGUAAACGAUGAACACUAGGUGUCGGGGGAAUCGACCCCCUCGGUGUCGUAGCCAACGCGUUAAGUGUUCCGCCUGGGGAGUACGCACGCAAGUGUGAAACUCAAAGGAAUUGACGG
rnacentral:rRNA from 1 species